rnacentral:lncRNA from 1 species
UAAGGAGGAGGAUAAAAAAGAAAAAAGUAACAUUUUAGAAAAAUAUGAAAAUGAAAAAGUGGUUUUAUACGAAAACAACGAAAUAGUAGAAUAUGAUGCCUCUCGGUUUGGAACAGUAAAAAAAAAAAUUGUAUUAAAUGAAGAUGAUUAUUUAAAUACAUUAGAAUACUUAAUUGAAAAAAAGUUUUAUCCAAAUUUAUAUAAAUUAAGAAAUGAAAAAGAAAAUAAAAAAAGAUUAAAAUUUAAUAACAUAACUAAUGAACAAAACAAACAAGAGUUAACAGCUGGUGAUAGUUAUGUAUAUAAUGAUUGGUCUAGAGAUAUGGACAAAUUAUGUAUGUUUUUGGAACAUAAUGGAUGUGAAAGUGAAGUAGGUAGCAACAUGCGAGAUAGUAAUAUUAUCAACCCCUAUUCUAAAAACAGUCACAUGAAUAAUGAAGAAAAUAAUUAUACAUUGAGCCAAAAAAGUAAGUGUGAUGACAUAGAUGUUAUAUCAAGUCCUAGCUAUAGUUUGACAUGUACUGAAAAUAGCCAUAUAUUGGAAAGUUUAAAAAAAAACAAUAAAUUAGUCUUUUUACCAAAUGGUAAUAAACACAAAAUAAAUUUGGAUAUAAGUUUAAGUGACUUUCAUAAAAAAUAUACAUCAGAAGAUAACGCAUCAUUUGAAUAUUUAAUUAAAAACAUGGAAAAACAAAAAUUAGAGAAAAAUUUGUAUUCUUUAGUAAAAAGAGAAAAAUAUAAUGAAAAAAUAAAAGCAAUAGAAGAAUAUACAAAAGAAGGAAAAAAAUGUGAUUUUAUAAACACAAACAAAGCAGAAGAUGAAAAUAAAUCAAUGUAUUUUUCAUCUAGUUUUAAAAUCAAUAGUAAUAUAGAUAAUGAAAAAAAAAAAAAUAAAGUGAAAAUAUUAUAUGAAAACACUCGAUUUAGUAAUGAGUAUAAUAAAGAUAUAGAAAAUCAGGUCAAUAGAUGUGAAGAAAUAAAAAAAAUAAGAUUAUUAACAACUGAAAAAGAAGUUAAAGAAAAUCAAAUGAUUGCUCAAGGUAAAUUUAAUUUACUAAAAGGAAAUAAUGAGUUUGAACAUAUAAAGACGCCUUUAACACAUGAGGGUUAUGGUUAUGAUAAAAAUGGAAGAUAUGAUGGUGGUAGCAAUAGUAGUAGUAGUAGUAGUAGUAGUAGUAGUAGUAGUAGCAGUAGGAGUAGUAGUAGGAGUAGUAGUAGUAGUAGCAGUAGGAGUAGUAGUAGUAGUAGUAGCAGUAAGAGUAGGCGCAUAAGCAAUACUAAUGGUAAGGACGAUCUAAGUGAUGAUGAAUCUAACUUGUUGAUAAAAAACGAAUUUUGUUUACAGCAAUUAAAUAAAAGAGAACAAGCUGCGGAGAAGUUACAAAAUCGAUUAAAAAAUAUGAAAUAUAAUAAAGAACUGUUAAAAAAAAAAAAAAUUAAAUCGCUAAUAAACAAAAAUUAUAGUUCUUUUAUGUCUAGCUCAUCAUUUAGAACCUCUGUUUUGUCCAGACAUAGUCAGAAACGACUAAACGAAUUGGCUUUAAAAUCUUCCCUAGCUUCGAGCAUUUUAAAAAAAAAAAAAAUCUAAACUGACGGAGGUACAUGGUGCAUAUAGAUAAUUUGUGUGCACAUACAUAUACAUUUGUCAUGUAUACGUUUUGGAAUAAAUAGUUUUUUUUUUUUUUUUUUUU